CAGUAGUUAAUUUUAGUUUUUAUCAAUGACAUGUAAUUAUUUAUGAUGUAAAGGUGAUUGACCAGCUGUUAUUCAACAGUAUAUUUGGUGAUGAUUUACAAGAUGAAGAUGGACUGUUUUUUGAGCCUAGUGACUUCUUUGAACUACUGGAUGACCAAGGGGAAGAUGGAGAAGACGACGAUAAAACCCUGGAUGCAACCAUGGAACGUGCAGGAAUUGAUCGGGAAAAUGAUUAGGGAUCAUUUGAAAUACAUGCAAAGUGGGUAUAAAAAUUAAAAUUUAAAAUAGAAGGUUUUGACCAGAAAAUCAAAGAACCCGGAAGCUGUUAUCACACAUUUGACUGGAAAGAAUUUAACGUUGCCUGAUCCAGUGAGCGACCUAUUUUUGUGGAAUAUUAUAAACGAUAAUUUAGAACCACCUAAGAGAAAAAGAUUACACGAUGUCACUACUGUAAAUGAUGCAGUUCAUUUAAUUAACUUCUCAGAAUAAAUUAUAGUCAGAAUUCGCAUCCACAGUAACCAUUGCCUUAGCUAGG